rnacentral:rRNA from 1 species
CGAACGCUGGCGGCAGGCUUAACACAUGCAAGUCGAGCGAGAUCUUCGGAUCUAGCGGCGGACGGGUGAGUAACGCGUGGGAACGUGCCCUUUGCUACGGAAUAGUCCCGGGAAACUGGGUUUAAUACCGUAUACGCCCUUCGGGGGAAAGAUUUAUCGGCAAAGGAUCGGCCCGCGUUGGAUUAGGUAGUUGGUGGGGUAAUGGCCUACCAAGCCGACGAUCCAUAGCUGGUUUGAGAGGAUGAUCAGCCACACUGGGACUGAGACACGGCCCAGACUCCUACGGGAGGCAGCAGUGGGGAAUUCUUAGACAAUGGGGGCAAACCCUGAUUCU